AUGGAGUUUAUGACUGUCUGGAGUUUAGUUCUCAUGGUGAUGUCCAUACACAGUGUUUGCUGUGAUGAGAUGGAUCAGUCUACUUCUCAGGUGAAAAGACCUGAAGACACGUUUAAAUUGUCAUGCAAAAUCUCUGGGUUUGAUAUGACAAGCUACUACAUGAGCUGGAUAAGGCAGAAACCAGGCAAAGCUCUGGAGUGGAUUGGGAGCAUUGACUCUGGUUCAACAGAUGCUCCAGACUACUCAGACUCCCUGCAAGGCCAGUUCAUCCUGACUGAGGACGUCUCCACAAGCACCCAGUUCUUAGAGGCCAAUAGUCUGAGAUCAGAGGACUCUGCUGUUUAUUAUUGUGCUCGAGAGACACAGUGA